GAAAAGCCCGCUCGCCGGAAGACCAAGGGUUCCUGUCCAACGUUAAUCGGGGCAGGGUGAGUCGACCCCUAAGGCGAGGCCGAAAGGCGUAGUCGAUGGGAAACGGGUUAAUAUUCCCGUACUUGGUGUUACUGCGAAGGGGGGACGGAGAAGGCUAUGUUGGCCGGGCGACGGUUGUCCCGGUUUAAGCGUGUAGGUGUGUGUUCCAGGUAAAUCCGGUUCACUUUAACACUGAGGCGUGACGACGAGGCACUACGGUGCUGAAGCAACAAAUGCCCUGCUUCCAGGAAAAGCCUCUAAGCAUCAGGUAACAUCAAAUCGUACCCCAAACCGACACAGGUGGUCAGGUAGAGAAUACCAAGGCGCUU
rnacentral:rRNA from 1 species